rnacentral:rRNA from 1 species
UACGUAGGGGGCUAGCGUUGUCCGGAAUCAUUGGGCGUAAAGCGCGUGUAGGCGGCCCGGUAAGUCCGCUGUGAAAGUCCAGGGCUCAACCCUGGAAUGUCGAUGGAUACUGCCGGGCUAGAGUCCGGAAGAGGCGAGUGGAAUUCCUGGUGUAGCGGUGGAAUGCGCAGAUAUCAGGAGGAACACCAAUAGCGAAGGCAGCUCGCUGGGACGGUACUGACGCUAAGGCGCGAAAGCGUGGGGGAGCGAACAGG